CGCCAGACUCCUACGGGAGGCAGCAGUGGGGAAUAUUGCACAAUGGGGGAAACCCUGAUGCAGCGACGCCGCGUGAGCGAUGAAGUAUUUCGGUAUGUAAAGCUCUAUCAGCAGGGAAGAAGAUGACGGUACCUGACUAAGAAGCCCCGGCUAACUACGUGCCAGCAGCCGCGGUAAUACGUAGGGGGCAAGCGUUAUCCGGAUUUACUGGGUGUAAAGGGAGCGUAGACGGCGAUGCAAGCCAGAUGUGAAAGCCCGGGGCUCAACCCCGGGACUGCAUUUGGAACUGUGUGGCUGGAGUGUCGGAGAGGCAGGCGGAAUUCCUAGUGUAGCGGUGAAAUGCGUAGAUAUCAGGAGGAACACCGGCGGCGAAGGCGGCCUGCUGGACCGUGACUGACGUUGAGGCUCGAGAGCGUGGGGAGCAAACAGGAUUAGAUACCCCGGUA
rnacentral:rRNA from 1 species